AAUAUAGUGCCUGAAAUUUAAAGGAUAGCUGUGAUAGGGCUAACAAUGUAGAAUCUUCUACCUAUAUUA
rnacentral:tRNA from 1 species